AAACAACAAAUCCCAGCCCAAACCCAGACUUUAUAAAACAAAAAAUAUAUUAAAUUUAAACAGAACAAAACUCCACACCUCGUGUUCAUGCAUCAUGACCAAGGACCCCUUGUUAUGCCAUCCAUGUCUUCUAAAUUAAUGGAAGUUCAAAACCCCACGAAGGCAUUGAUUCUUGAAGCUCAUUCAGAAAGGGGUUUGGUCUUUGACCUAUAGAGGAGCUUCUUCUUCUUAGAGGUUUGGUUAUCAAUGGUAAGCACAACCUUGCCAGGUUCACCAAUUUUGAAUGUAUCUGAGAUCACAGGAUCAUCGGAUGAGAUAAUCUUCCUGGUCUUUGAUACGAUAACGGUGUAACCAUCCUCAGCGCUAGGCACGAAUUCAGCUCC
rnacentral:lncRNA from 1 species